rnacentral:rRNA from 1 species
GGAAUAUUGGACAAUGGGGGCAACCCUGAUCCAGCCAUGCCGCGUGCGUGAAGAAGGCCUUAGGGUUGUAAAGCGCUUUCUCUGGUGAAGAUGAUGACGGUAGCCAGAGAAGAAGCCCCGGCUAACCCCGUGCCAGCCGCCGCGGUAAUACGGCGGGGGAAAGCGUUGUUCGGAAUUACUGGGCGUAAAGGGCGCGUAGGCGGAACAGUAAGUUAGGGGUGAAAGGCCUGGGCUCAACCUGGGAGCGGCCUCUAAGACUGAUGAUCUUGAGUCCGGAAGAGGAUGGCGGAAUUCCCAGUGUAGAGGUGAAAUUCGUAGAUAUUGGGAAGAACACCGGUGGCGAAGGCGGCCAUCUGGUCCGGUACUGACGCUGAGGCGCGAAAGCGUGGGGAGCAAAC